rnacentral:rRNA from 1 species
UACGAAGGGGGCUAGCGUUGCUCGGAAUCACUGGGCGUAAAGGGUGCGUAGGCGGGUCUUUCAGUUCGGGGUGAAAUCCUGGAGCUCAACUCCAGAACUGCCUUUGAUACUGAGGAUCUUGAGUUCGGGAGAGGUGAGUGGAACUGCGAGUGUAGAGGUGAAAUUCGUAGAUAUUCGCAAGAACACCAGUGGCGAAGGCGGCUCACUGGCCCGAUACUGACGCUGAGGCACGAAAGCGUGGGGAGCAAACAGG